GGAAUAUUGCGCAAUGGGGGAAACCCUGACGCAGCCAUGCCGCGUGUGUGAAGAAGACCUUAGGGUUGUAAAGCACUUUAAAUAGGGAGAAAAGGCCCACGGCUAAUACCCGUGGGAGUUGAUGUUACCUAUAGAAGAAGCACCGGCUAACCCCGUGCCAGAAGCCGCGGUAAUACGGAGGGUGCGAGCGUUAAUCGGAAUUAAUGGGCGUAAAGCGCGCGUAGGCGGCUUGUUAAGUCAGCUGUGAAAGCCCCGGGCUCAACCUGGGAAUUGCAGUUGAUACUGUCAGGCUGGAGUACGAGAGAGGGAGGUAGAAUUCCAUGUGUAGCGGUGAAAUGCGUAGAUAUAUGGAGGAAUACCAGUGGCGAAGGCGGCCUCCUGGCUCGAUACUGACGCUGAGGUGCGAAAGCGUGGGUAGCAAAC
rnacentral:rRNA from 1 species